rnacentral:rRNA from 1 species
CGGGGGAUAACCAUGAGAAAUUAUGGCUAAUACCGCAUACGUACUGCAAUUUUGGAAGUAGCAGUAGAAAGGAUGCCUCUCCUUGGAAGCAUUCACUAAGAGAUGGGCCUGCGUAGCAUUAGCUUGUUGGUGGGGUAAUGGCCUACCAAGGCAACGAUGCUUAGCUGGUCUGAGAGGAUGAUCAGCCACACUGGAACUGAGACACGGUCCAG